rnacentral:rRNA from 1 species
AUGCCUAGCCCUAAACAAAUAAUCAUCCUACAACUAUUUUUCGCCAGGGAACAACGAGCCUCAGCUUAAAACCCAAAGGACUUGGCGGUGCUUUAGACCCCCCUAGAGGAGCCUGUCCUAGAACCGAUAAUCCCCGUUCAACCUCACCCCCUCUUGUUCUUUCCCGCCUGUAUACCUCCGUCGUCAGUCCACCCUGUAAGGGCUUAAAAGUGGGCAAAGUUGGCACAGCCUAAAACGCCAGGUCGAGGUGCAGCUUAUGAGGGGGGAAGAGAUGGGCUACAUUUUCUGAUUCAGCAAACACGGAUUUUGCCCUGAAAAAGCAUCUGAAGGUGGAUUUAGUAGUAAGGAGGGAUUAGAGCGCCCCCCUGAAACCGGCACUGAAGCGCGUACACACCG